UUGUGAGGACUUUGAAUGUAGGAGAUAUUUUCUGAGCCUUUGUUUUAGUCAUCGUGCUAUUUCAACACAAUAUGGGUUGAUGUGAGAAAUGUGUUUCAAAUUCCAAUUGUUCCGAGUGAGUAAUGCUUAAAAGUCGUCGCCGAUCCUUGAUAAGACGAUGGUAUGUUUGCAAAGAAGGUACCUCUACCUAGUGUUGUAGUGUUUUGAUGCAUUUAUAACGAAGAGGAAGACCUGACUGGUGGCCCAUUAACACGUCGCUCGUACUCGCGUUUAUUUGAGUCAUCGUGUUAGCUUAUACUAAUUUCGUGGUUCACUUUCUUUUUUGUGCAAUUUUUUUUUGGAAGAUUUGACCGACGAUUUAUUCAACUUCAAGAUUCAUACUGUUCGUGAUCACUCAAGAUGUCCACUAAUCGAACACACGAAGCACACCGCAUUGUCGCAGGCUGCAGCAACGAUCCCCAUGUUCAUCUUCACAAUGUACCAAAUUUGAAAGAAAUAGCAUAUCAUGAAGUAGCUCGCAUACUUCAUCAAUUGUCUGCAAAUGAGAGAAAAAAACUGAUUUUCAAGGUAGCUGAGAGCCCUUUGUUUCACGAGUGUAGUUCUGAAUCGUUCAACUUAUUAGUGAACACGUGUUUGCCGCACUUCGAGAACCAAUUGGCGCUGAAAGAAUUCGUAGUAAUGCAUUCUCACCAUUUCGAAGAAUAUUUAUAUCGUUUAUUAAUCCGUGAUCAAGAGUAUGAAAAAUUCAUUGGAAAAAUAAAAUUUUAUUGCGCUUAUGAUGCAAGCGUUAUCCAAGUAUUCAAACAACAGUUCUUGAAAGAAGUAUUAAUACCACGACACUCUAGUGACAUUGGUCUCAUUUUCAACUUCAAUAAAUGGAAUAAUUUCAGCAAAUGUAUCGACGAAACUUUUGAAAACGAUCGUACCUCAAGUUUGGUGGUGAAAAAAGAGUUGAUAUCGAAGGUAGUAUCCGCCUAUUUCACAAACUUUACAAAUUUGAAACCCCGUACUCAUGAUCAACUCGUUGAUUACUUGAAAGUUCUUGAAAUGGUAUUUGUAGACGAAGUGUUGAAACAAGAUAAACCUACGUUCAGCUCCUUGUGCUCCGUCAUGAUUAUGAAGGUGAAUAUCCGUAUUAUGAAAUAUGUGAACCGAAAGUGUGCCGAGUGGUGGUCGAAGGACGAUAUCGAGAACUAUGUGCGUAAAUCGGGACUGCACUGGUGUAAAGUUCUUUCUACUUAGAAAAUUAUUUCACAUAAAAGUAUUUAAAAGAACUCAAAAGAUAGUCAAGAAAUACAUUCAUGUAAAUUGACAUAGAUGAUAUUUCUGGUACUUUUUUUUUAAUUUAAAAUUUUUCAAAAUUGAUUAAUAGGUAAGUUAUUUUUGCUUAUGGAUAAGAUUUGAGGCUUUAAUUGGAGACAUUGAUUUGCUACAGUAUAAUUCAUAACGUUUUUAAAAACUUGUCAAUAAUUUUAAUUCAAUUAGCCUUUCCAUGUAAGAUUUGUUCAAAUUGUUACUGAAAAAAUAUUAAAUAAUUUUUUUACGCUUCAGAA